rnacentral:rRNA from 1 species
GACGAACGCUGGCGGCGUGCUUAACACAUGCAAGUCGAACGGAAAGGCCCUGCUUUUGUGGGGUGCUCGAGUGGCGAACGAGUGAGUAACACGUGAGUAACCUGCCCUUGACUUUGGGAUAACUUCAGGAAACUGGGGCUAAUACCGGAUAGGAGCUCCUGCUGCAUGGUGGGGGUUGGAAAGUUUCGGCGGUUGGGGAUGGACUCGCGGCUUAUCAGCUUGUUGGUGGGGUAGUGGCUUACCAAGGCUUUGACGGGUAGCCGGCCUGAGAGGGUGACCGGCCACAUUGGGACUGAGAUACGGCCCAGACUCCUACGGGAGGCAGCAGUGGGGAAUAUUGCACAAUGGGGGGAAGCCUGAUGCAGCAACGCCGCGUGCGGGAUGACGGCCUUCGGGUUGUAAACCGCUUUCGCCUGUGACGAAGCGUGAGUGACGGUAAUGGGUAAAGAAGCACCGGCUAACUACGUG